UCGGGAAUUUUGGGCAAUGGGGGAAACCCUGACCCAGCAACGCCGCGUGAAGGAUGAAGUAUUUCGGUAUGUAAACUUCGAAAGAAUAGGAAGGAUAAAUGACGGUACUAUUUAUAAGGUCCGGCUAACUACGUGCCAGCAGCCGCGGUAAUACGUAGGGACCAAGCGUUGUUCGGAUUUACUGGGCGUAAAGGGCGCGUAGGCGGCAUGACAAGUCACUUGUGAAAUCUCUGGGCUUAACCCAGAACGGCCAAGUGAUACUGUCGCGCUAGAGUGCAGAAGGGGCAAUCGGAAUUCUUGGUGUAGCGGUGAAAUGCGUAGAUAUCAAGAGGAACACCUGAGGUGAAGACGGGUUGCUGGGCUGACACUGACGCUGAGGCGCGAAAGCCAGGGGAGCAAACGGGAUUAGAUACCCCCGUAGUCCCUGAGCGGGCUGGCAAGGCGCAU
rnacentral:rRNA from 1 species